GAACCUCCCACAGCAGAACUUAAGAACUACCCCAUCCUAAUUCAUGUAGGACCUGCGUGUGUGUGUUGAGGCCGCUUUGGAAGUUGUAUGUAAAAAAAAGAAAAGAAAAAAAAGAAAAAGAAAAGUGUUUUCAGCCAGAUGUGACCGUGGUGCUGCACUGGGACAGUUUUCUGACCAAGAAGAGAAUGUUAGGGUGUAAUGUACAGUAGUUUUAGUAGUAAGAAAAAAAAGGUACAGUUUUCUUCAGAUUUGACUGCUGAUGUUUUGUUGUAGUAACUUGUUUUAGCCAAACUUAUUCCCUCCCCCAUUUCCUUCUUUAAGGUUUGAAAACAGGGUUUCCUGAGGCAUGCUUGCAAGUGACCUCUGACAUUUGUAGUGAUUACGAGGGGGGAUGCAAAGAGAGCCAUGCCAGUCAGGGGGCGGGCUAAGUGAGUUCCCCCCUGAAAUCUGCGCUCUCCCGGUUUUUGUUUAUUUUACUUUGUUUGCUUUAAUUGUAUGCAAAACCAAAAUGUCAAACAUUGCAGACUUCUAUGUUGUAGUCCUGACGUGCGAGUGUGUAAAUACUGAGUACAAUCAUCGGGAUCUUGUUUUUUGAGAGCGAAGCAGAUAAAUUGAAGAUAGGUGUAGUUUCUAAAGAACAUGUAUCAUCCUUUGUAAGUUAACCAUCUGCAUGUCUUCAAGCCACCUGGCGUUAGCUAAUAAUAGUUUUUAAGAUAAGAGGAAAAGACUUUUUUUUUUUUACACAUUUUAUUGUUGACAAUGUAUUUGCUUACCUGAAUGUCCCAGACAAUAAUGUGACCCUUUUUGUUACUUCAAAUGUUUUUAUUUUCCAUUGUUUUUGAUGAUUUCUUUGUAUUACAUAUAGGUGAUUUAUAACAAAAAGGAAAAAAGUUAUUGGAGAAAUUUUCAAAUUGAAAUAUAUUUUAUUUGAAAGUUUAUGGACCUUUUAACCGUGACCCGGGAAAAUUGUAUAAUCAUAUAAUUUGAGCUAACUUGACGGUUAUGAGAAAUGUAUCAAGAGUUUUAUUUUUUAAGGUUGUUUAAUGAAGUGUUGUUUUUGGGUUUCAUUUUUUUACUGUAAGAUAGAGAAACUUGUGACUAGUGUCUUUAUUUUAGUGGCGGGGAAAUGUGUAGUCUUCGCCACACAGGGGCAGCAGAGAUGGCUGUGAAUUGUGCGAUUCAGAUGUGUUUGUAUUCAAAUCUGUAAAACUGCAGGAGGUUAACAGACAGUAUAGCCUGGAUUUGAUAUUUAAAGUCGAUACUGAUGCAUUUUUUUGUUUAAAAUGUGUUAUAAAGUUUUUAAAGUAAAUAUAGUUUUCUGUGUUUGCUUUCAUACAUACAUGGAGCUGGGUGGGGUUACAGUUGUUCUCGAGAGCAUUUAUAGGUUACAGUCAACCGUUGUGCGGUGCUUUGGAGUGUUGUACACACUGUUUUUGCAAUGAUUUUCAAUGAUUUUACAAUGAUGUAGUACAGGCACAGUACAGGUACUUUAGCUCGAUCAGCCCUUGGUGCGAUGGGUAAGGAUCCGGUAAAAUAAGAUCAGUACCAUAUAGUACAUUCAGAAAUAAAUGUGCUUUGGUAGUUGUUGAUAUUAAUGUAUUCUGACCCUACAGCUUCCUGGUGGUGGAAAAGAAGACAAGUCACGACUGUGGGCAGUUGGUGAGUUGAGUGUUAACUGGCAUGGAAGAGCUGAUGCCCUUAGCUGUGGGGUAAGGGGGUGCUUCCCCUCUGGGUGAGGCACUUUCUUGAUCUGUUUAGCAGUUGUUGUAAACAAAUGCAGAGGUAUAGUCCAAUAGUUUUUGUGGUGAGCAAAGUGAGAGACGUAAUCCAGUGUGUUGGAUUGUCUUGAUUUUCUUUUAAGCUGAUGAACAACCCUCUGUUGUUCUUGUAAGUCCGCAGUCCUGUUGUUUGGGGUAUGACAAGGUCUUGGAGUGAGUCCUGUCUGUCUGGGGGAGAGAUGAGCUGAAGUGGGCAGCUCUUACACCUUGUAUUUAUGGGAUACAAUAGGAAAAAAAUGCUUUGUGGGUGAAGUAUUCACUCCUUUUAGGCCUUUCCUGGUGUUUGUUUCUGUUGGACACGUGCAUGUUGCGUGUGUCACAUCCUGAACAUUUGUCCUGUAUCUGUCUGUCUGUGUUUUGCAGACAGUUGACACACUUCUGAUUUGUUUUGUGUGAGUGUCAUAAUCAUAUCAACUGUUUUGAGUCAGAGGAACAUUCUGUUAGUUUUAUGCAGACAUAUGAAGUAAUGUGAUUUGGGCAGAUUUUGUUGUGAACUUCCUGGAUUAGAGACAUGCGUCAACAUGUUUUUAUGUCAUGUAGCUCUUUAUUAUGCUGUAUGUGGAAGUGGUGUAAUUGGUGGUUGCUGUGAUACACUUGGUUCAUGACUUCUGAGCUUAAGUGGAUUUGAGAGUCUGGGUGAUCUGGGGGUCACUUAGACCAGAAGAAAUGUAGUAGUAAUACAUAUCCUAAGGUAUACCAUACCUUAAAGUGAAGUGACGUUCCUAAAGAUGGGAGUUAUAGAGUGAGUGAAAGCUGUAUACCCCGUGGUGGUGAAGCAGAGUUGUGGAUGGGUUUGAAUGUGAGUGGCAGGAUCUUGUAGUUAAUAUGGAACUUGAUUGGGAGCCAGUGAAGCUGUUGCUGGACAGGAGUGAUGUGGGUGGCUGAAUUCUGAAGCAGUUGGAGUGUACGAAGAGACUUGUGGGUGAGACCGAAGAGGAGGGAGUUGCAAUAGUCAAGGCGGUUGAUAUUGUGUAAGUGGAAAUGGAGAAGCAGUUGGUUUUGGAUAAAGUUGAUGUAAUAUCAUUGAGGAGGACCUCUAUGUUGUUGCUGUGUAGUUGAAGAAAAUUAGAGGUCCAUUGGAGGGAGGUAUGGAAGAUGAGUGUCAGUACCUCCGUCAGCUGGUUUGUGCGGUCUUUAAGCAGCCGCCCAGGGAUGUUGUCGGGACCAGCAGCUUUAUGUGUGUUGAUCCUUUGGAGGGUACUCCUCACCUCCGCUGUGGUCACACUGAGCGGCUGUUCUCCUGUUGGAGGGAGUUCUGUCCUCCCGUGUCAUGGCAGUGGAGAAGAAGGCUUUGCAGAGGAGUGUGGGACAAAGUCUCCCCACAGGAAGAUGGCUGUGGAGUAUCAAAAGCAGGACCAGCAGACUGAGCCCAACAGGACGAUGGAAUACCUGGGAGGAGUGCUGUCCAGUAGGACUCCCUGCAAGAAGGCUGGAACAACAGUGAGAUGGCCAUCACUGAGCUGAAGGCGCAGGGAAGAACUCCAACACCUGACAGUCUGGGAGUCAACUUGUGGAGGUCACCUCAACAGUCUACCACAAUGCAGAUUUCAUUAUCCAGCAAGACCUGGCCCCUGCUCAUACUGCCAGAAGCACCAAAACCUGGUUUGAUGCUCAUGCCAUCACAGCGCUUGACUGGCCAGCCAACUCGCCCGACCUAAACCCCAUUGACAAUCUAUGGGCUAUUCUCAAGAGGAAAAUGAGGGGCACCAGACCCAACAACAAAGAAGAGCUGACAGCAAGCAUCAAACAAAUGUGGGCUUCCAUAACUCCUAUGCUAUGCCACAGCCAGAUUGCCUCAAUGCCACAUCGCAUCAAGGCAGUGAUUAAGGCAAACGGAUUCCCCACCAAGUAUCGAUGAUUGAUAUAUCAUUUUGAAAGUACCACAUUUUCAUUGAUUUCUUUAUUUUCUGCUAAAACAGUAUUCCAAUUCACAGUAUUCUAAUUUAUUGAAAUCCUGUUCUUGUGGGUUUCACGAGCUGGAAGCCAAAAUUACGUAAAAAAUACACAAAUAAAUACCUAAAAUUUAUUACAUUGUGGACCACUAAUAUAUCAAUGUUUAACUUUCUGAAUGGAAUUAUGGAAAUUAAACUACUUUUUCACAAUAUUCUAAUUUUUCUGAAAGGAUCUGUACUCGUGCACACGUUUUACAUUUUGCAUUCUAAUCAUCUCCAGGGUGUUCCUCUUCAUCUUCAUAUAUAUCUACAUUUCUACUUUGUAUUACAAAAAGCUAAGUAGCUCAGCAUCUUCAACAUUGACAUUCAAUGCCACACUACUAUCACAAUCCCCCAACAAAGACAAAUUGCUUUUGAAAUAACUUUUAUUACAUCAAUAGGCUGAGAUCAUUCAUAAGAGCUUGUUCUUUUUCCUGUGACAUUAAUUUAUUCCAUUAAGGUUAGACGGAAGUUAUAUCCUAAACAAUUCCUCUAAAUGUGUUGAAAAGCACAACGUUUGCUCUGUAAAACUCCUUUCCCUAAGCCCCUCCCCCUCCACGGGGAGGUCAAAGGUCUGCAUAAAACAAACUUCCACCUGCUCUCCGUCUGCUAAAACCCCACCGUUUCUGUUUAUUUUUAAACAAUAGGGAUUACACACGUGAUACAAUGCAAACAAUUCAUUUCACAAGUUUCCCCUUCAACACACUGAAGUUGUGCUUUAAACAUUACAAAGUGGGUCUGCUAUUUCAAAAUUACUUUUAUCAAAGACUAAACAUACAUAGUUUUCUUCCACUUAAAGCGAAGCCUAAGCUAUCUCGCUACAACUAACACACUGAUUCAAAACGCCAACAGUACAAAACAACAAUCCAAAAGUCUCUCACCUUUUCCGUCGAUCCGCUAAUGACUUAUAACGCCGUUCACCUGUGGCGUUUCAAACCAGACGCCGAAUGAUUGUCGCCUCUGACGUCACUAAGCCGCGACCGUUUUUUCUUUCUUUUCCGGUGCAUCUUUGUGAUUUAACUACUCCGGAAAACAGCGACCGACUCCUCCUGCAGCAGUACUUUGUUUUAUUUUCUGCCUGCAUUUGUAAUAACACAUAAUCAAGAAGGCAAUUACUCUAACUUACAGCUUGAAAUGUUUUAUAACCAAUCAACGCAUUCUCUCAUAAAGUGCAGUGGACACAAUCCAUACAGAUUACAAUACAAUCUGUGUGGAGUAUGCAACACUUCACUUCUAAUACAUAUAUAAGACACCUUAAUACUUUAAAUACAUAACAACAACACUCUCUUUUAACAUAGUUACUAAACACAACAAAAAACCCAAUAAAACUUAUUAAUUUGAAUGCCACCAAUAAACUUGCCUUAGUACUGGCCUCUUGAAUCACAGUUUGUCUGUGAAAAAACUUUUGCUAAGUCUGCAAAUUAGCCGUCUAUCUUUGAGCUGUAGCUGCCCGUUCUUGUGGAGACUAUUUACUAGCGUUCUUUGCAUGUUUUUUUUUUGCAUGUCUUCCGUCAAAACAUCUUUCAUUGUCCACUCUUUAUUUAAGACUCAGCGCUCAUUUUUAAUGAAGGGCUGAGAAUCCUAGGCGACACAUUGAAGUCGACAGCAACCUUAAUGCAUCACACUCAAUGCUCAAUAUCUUUGGCACCAUCACCUAGGUAACAUGAUUGAGGUGUCUUCUAAUACAAUUUAAUUUAAUAAUAUAACGUGGACAAGUUCGGCGGGCCGGAUUACAAAGCCCAAUAGGCCGUAGUUUGCCCGUGCCUGGUCUGGACUCUUUAAAACUAACAGCUGCUCCAGCAUCUGGUCUAAACUCCAGUCUGACUUUGAAUGGCUGCAAUUUUUUAAACAUGAAAACACCACACACUUUAAUCAGGACAUAACAUCGCAAUAAAGGAGACAUUUGGAUCCUGACAUAAACGUCCUUUUAAUAGGAAGCAGAUCACAAUCACGCUGCAUUCCAAGUCCUCUUCAUCCUCAUUAAAGAGUGAUCAAUCAUGAUAGGAAACAAAUUAGAAACGGCCUCAGUACAAAACAAUUCUCUCAUGCGAGUUUUUGUUUUCACACUACAUUCGUUUUGGUUACAGGAGAUGUAUUCACAAGGCUUUUUCUGAAAAAAGACAAACACUAAACAUCGAUGACUUCAGUACAUUGUUACAGAAAUGAAAGUAACAAAACAUCAAAGAGACACAUGCUGCCACACAAAGUUUCCCAUCAUGCAAGUGUGGGUUGCUUAUUCACAGGGUGGGGCGUCAUCGGUUUCCACAGGCUUGUGUCCGUGUGCGUGCAUGCAUGUGUGUUUUCUUACAUGUCUUUUUGUGCUUCGGCAGGAAGGUUUUUUUAUGUGUGUACGAGUGUUUCGCGUAAAUACAGAAAGCGGGCGACAGACGAGCCUCGAGUUUAAUGAGUCAUCUUUUUUAAAAACUAUGCUUCUUAAUAUAAUUUGUAUUACUUUGUUGCUUUUUAAGCUUCUACCCGACAUGUCGUGUCUCUUUUGGAGCCUACGGUAGGACAAUGCGUGGAAAUGCCGAGUGCCGUCAGUGUUGUUUAAAGGACAAAUCUGACCACAACGCUCUUGUUGGAGAACCAUUUGGGGAAAAAAACAACAACA